UGGGGAAUUUUGGACAAUGGGCGAAAGCCUGAUCCAGCAAUGCCGCGUGUGUGAAGAAGGCCUUCGGGUUGUAAAGCACUUUUGUCCGGAAAGAAAUCCUUGGCUCUAAUACAGUCGGGGGAUGACGGUACCGGAAGAAUAAGCACCGGCUAACUACGUGCCAGCAGCCGCGGUAAUACGUAGGGUGCAAGCGUUAAUCGGAAUUACUGGGCGUAAAGCGUGCGCAGGCGGUUUGCUAAGACCGAUGUGAAAUCCCCGGGCUCAACCUGGGAACUGCAUUGGUGACUGGCAGGCUAGAGUAUGGCAGAGGGGGGUAGAAUUCCACGUGUAGCAGUGAAAUGCGUAGAGAUGUGGAGGAAUACCGAUGGCGAAGGCAGCCCCCUGGGCCAAUACUGGCGCUCAUGCACGAAAGCGUGGGGAGCAAAACAGGAUUAGAUACCCUGGUAGUCCACGCCCUAAACGAUGUCAACUAGUUGUUGGGGAUUCAUUUCCUUAGUAACGUAGCUAACGCGUGAAGUUGACCGCCUGGGGAGUACGGUCGCAAGAUUAAAACUCAAAUGAAUUGACGGGGUCAUAGCUGUUUCCU
rnacentral:rRNA from 1 species